rnacentral:tRNA from 1 species
GUGUUUGUGGCUUAGUGAUAGAGUGCUUGCCUCGCAUGUGAGAAGCACUGGGUUUGAUCCUCAGCACCACA